rnacentral:rRNA from 1 species
ACGAACGCUGGCGGCGUGCCUAAUACCUGCAAGUCGAACGCAUUUUCUUUCACCGUAGCUUGCUACACCGAAAGAAAAUGCGUGGCGAACGGGUGAGUAACACGUGGGUAACCUGCCCAUCAGCGGGGGAUAACACUUGGAAACAGGUGCUAAUACCGCAUAAUUCCAUUUACCGCAUGGUAGAUGGAUGAAAGGCGCUUUUGCGUCACUGAUGGAUGGACCCGCGGUGCAUUAGCUAGUUGGUGGGGUAACGGCCUACCAAGGCUGAGAUGCAUAGCCGACCUGAGAGGGUGAUCGGCCACACUGGGACUGGGACACGGCCCAGACUCCUACGGGAGGCAGCAGGAGGGAAUCUUCGGCAAUGGACACAAGUCUGACCGAGCAACGCCGCGUGAGUGAAGAAGGUUUUCGGAUCGUAAAACUCUGUUGUUAGAGAAGAACAAGGAUGAGAGUGGAAAGUUCAUCCCUUGACGGUAUCUAACCAGAAAGCCACGGCUAACUACGUG